rnacentral:misc_RNA from 1 species
CAGCCACUGGGACACCAGCAAUUUCAGGGUAGGCAACUGCCCUCUGGGCAUGUUCAGCAUGGCAUGGGUCAAAGUCCACUUAACCAAGGGAAUCAGUUAAAUCGCCAUUUAAGCCAGUUUUCUGGUACUGCAAAUAAUGCACUGUUUAAUGCUGCUCAGGUGGCACCAAAUACUCAGAUGAUUCCAAACAUGUCGGCUACAAUGUCGUCUCAACCGCUUGUGCCACGAAUGCAGUUUGGAUUAACUGGUAGCAAUCCCCAGAGGAGUCAUGCAUCCCAAAUUAUGAAUGAUCAAGUGUUUAAUAUGGGAGUGUCAAAUCCUGGUGGUAUGAUGCCCAUACAGCCGCAGCAGCCUCAACAACAGCAGCAGCUUGGUUCUCAAGGUGCAUUUGGUAAUAUGCCACCAAAUGCACAGAAUUUACAGUCCAGUAUGUUGGCACUUCAGAAUGCAUCACAAAAUCACUCCAAUUUUGUACAGCAGAGACAACAGAAUCAGCAGUAACUAUAAGUCCAUAUUAGAUGCUGUGAACACCGCACCAACCACCCUCCCCUCCUCCCAAAAAAAAAAAAAAAAAAAAAAA